UGGGGAAUUUUGGACAAUGGGCGAAAGCCUGAUCCAGCAAUGCCGCGUGUGUGAAGAAGGCCUUCGGGUUGUAAAGCACUUUUGUCCGGAAAGAAAUCCUUGGCUCUAAUACAGUCGGGGGAUGACGGUACCGGAAGAAUAAGCACCGGUUAACUACGUGCCAGCAGCCGCGGUAAUACGUAGGGUGCAAGCGUUAAUCGGAAUUACUGGGCGUAAAGCGUGCGCAGGCGGUUUGCUAAGACCGAUGUGAAAUCCCCGGGCUCAACCUGGGAACUGCAUUGGUGACUGGCAGGCUAGAGUAUGGCAGAGGGGGGUAGAAUUCCACGUGUAGCAGUGAAAUGCGUAGAGAUGUGGAGGAAUACCGAUGGCGAAGGCAGCCCCCUGGGCCAAAUACUGACGCUCAUGCACGAAAGCGUGGGGAGCAAACAGGAUUAGAUACCCUGGUAGUCCACGCCCUAAACGAUGUCAACUAGUUGUUGGGGAUUCAUUUCCUUAGUAACGUAGCUAACGCGUGAAGUUGACCGCCU
rnacentral:rRNA from 1 species